GACAGAUAGCCUAGUGGUUAAGGCUAUUGUCAAUCCGGAGACGGCGGGUUCAAUUCCCGUUCCAGUCG
rnacentral:tRNA from 1 species